rnacentral:rRNA from 1 species
AACGUAGGAGGCAAGCGUUAUCCGGAAUUAUUGGGCGUAAAGGGCUCGUAGGCGGUUUGUCGCGUCGGGAGUGAAAACCUUGGGCUUAACUCAGGGCUUGCUUUCGAUACGGGCAGACUAGAGGUAUGCAGGGGAGAACGGAAUUCCUGGUGUAGCGGUGAAAUGCGCAGAUAUCAGGAGGAACACCGGUGGCGAAGGCGGUUCUCUGGGCAUGAUCUGACGCUGAGGAGCGAAAGUGUGGGGAGCGAACAGG